rnacentral:lncRNA from 1 species
UGAGACUGCUCUCAUUCUUCAGGCUCUUUCCGUCCCUACAAACACAAAUAUAUAUUUGGCCGCUGGAGAUGGGCUUAUGGAACUUGAAGGGCUUACCUCUGUAUACACUAAUGCUGUUAGAAAAUCCACCCUUCUUAGUGAUGAGGACUUCACAAGCAUGCAUGGAAACACAAAAGCUGCCCUUGAUUAUUAUGUAUCCAUUAACAGCGACUAUUACAUUGCUACGUACUUUGGGAAUAUGGAUAAGAUGGUAGCAGCAAUACGGGCUAUGAAGGGGUUGUACAAAACGCUUUUCUUAAGUAGGAGGGCUUUUGCAGUAUUCACAUCUCAAGGGCUCAGAGGGGAAAGAUUAAUGGAAGCACUGUGGAAGGCUCAUAUAGAGGAUUUUGUAAUGAGUAGGGGUUCUGCUUUAUCUGACUGCUUUUGUGAGUUCCAGUUAUAGGUAGAUUAUAAUCAUUUUUUAAAUCCUUUCAAAUUUAUGUAGUUUUGCAUCACUGAUUUGGUUUUGGGAGCAGAAAUUGUUACAUGAGAUACCUGGAUAGUCAGCAAGUUGUUUAAGUUGGAGACCACGGUUAC